GACGAACGCUGGCGGCGUGCCUAAUACAUGCAAGUUGAGCGAUGAAGAUUGGUGCUUGCACCAAUUUGAAGAGCAGCGAACGGGUGAGUAACGCGUGGGGAAUCUGCCUUUGAGCGGGGGACAACAUUUGGAAACGAAUGCUAAUACCGCAUAAUAACUUUAAACAUAAGUUUUAAGUUUGAAAGAUGCAAUUGCAUCACUCAAAGAUGAUCCCGCGUUGUAUUAGCUAGUUGGUGAGGUAAAGGCUCACCAAGGCGAUGAUACAUAGCCGACCUGAGAGGGUGAUCGGCCACAUUGGGACUGAGACACGGCCCAAACUCCUACGGGAGGCAGCAGUAGGGAAGCUUCGGCAAUGGACGAAAGUCUGACCGAGCAACGCCGCGUGAGUGAAGAAGGUUUUCGGAUCGUAAAACUCUGUUGGUAGAGAAGAACGUUGGUGAGAGUGGAAAGCUCAUCAAGUGACGGUAACUACCCAGAAAGGGACGGCUAACUACGUG
rnacentral:rRNA from 1 species